ACGCUGGCGGCGUGCCUAAUACAUGCAAGUCGAGCGAAGGAUUAAUAACUUGCUCUUAUGAAGUUAGCGGCGGACGGGUGAGUAACACGUGGGUAACCUGCCCAUAAGACUGGGAUAACUCCGGGAAACCGGGGCUAAUACCGGAUAACAUUUUGAACCGCAUGGUUCGAAAUUGAAAGGCGGCUUCGGCUGUCACUUAUGGAUGGACCCGCGUCGCAUUAGCUAGUUGGUGAGGUAACGGCUCACCAAGGCAACGAUGCGUAGCCGACCUGAGAGGGUGAUCGGCCACACUGGGACUGAGACACGGCCCAGACUCCUACGGGAGGCAGCAGUAGGGAAUCUUCCGCAAUGGACGAAAGUCUGACGGAGCAACGCCGCGUGAGUGAUGAAGGCUUUCGGGUCGUAAAACUCUGUUGUUAGGGAAGAACAAGUGCUAGUUGAAUAAGCUGGCACCUUGACGGUACCUAACCAGAAAGCCACGGCUAACUACGUGCCAGCAGCCGCGGUAAUACGUAAGUGGCAAGCGUUAUCCGGAAUUAUUGGGCGUAAAGCGCGCGCAGGUGGUUUCUUUAGUCUGAUGUGAAAG
rnacentral:rRNA from 1 species